GGCCCGCACAAGCGGUGGAGCAUGUGGUUUAAUUCGAUGCAACGCGAAGAACCUUACCUACUCUUGACAUCCAGAGAACUUAGCAGAGAUGCUUUGGUGCCUUCGGGAACUCUGAGACAGGUGCUGCAUGGCUGUCGUCAGCUCGUGUUGUGAAAUGUUGGGUUAAGUCCCGCAACGAGCGCAACCCUUAUCCUUUGUUGCCAGCGAUUCGGUCGGGAACUCAAAGGAGACUGCCGGUGAUAAACCGGAGGAAGGUGGGGAUGACGUCAAGUCAUCAUGGCCCUUACGAGUAGGGCUACACACGUGCUACAAUGGCGUAUACAAAGAGAAGCGACCUCGCGAGAGCAAGCGGAACUCAUAAAGUACGUCGUAGUCCGGAUUGGAGUCUGCAACUCGACUCCAUGAAGUCGGAAUCGCUAGUAAUCGUAGAUCAGAAUGCUACGGUGAAUACGUUCCCGGGCCUUGUACACACCGCCCGUCACACCAUGGGAGUGGGUUGCAAAAGAAGUAGGUAGCUUAACCUUCGGGAGGGCGCUUACCACUUUGUGAUUCAUGACUGGGGUGAAGUCGUAA
rnacentral:rRNA from 1 species